rnacentral:rRNA from 1 species
CGGAGCUUGCUCCACCGGGAAAAGAGGAGUGGCGAACGGGUGAGUAACACGUGGGUAACCUGCCCAUCAGAAGGGGAUAACACUUGGAAACAGGUGCUAAUACCGUAUAACAAUCGAAACCGCAUGGUUUCGUUUUGAAAGGCGCUUUACGGUGCCGCUGAUGGAUGGACCCGCGGUGCAUUAGCUAGUUGGUGAGGUAACGGCUCACCAAGGCCACGAUGCAUAGCCGACCUGAGAGGGUGAUCGGCCACAUUGGGACUGAGACACGGCCCAAACUCCUACGGGAGGCAGCAGUAGGGAAUCUUCGGCAAUGGACGAAAGUCUGACCGAGCAACGCCGCGUGAGUGAAGAAGGUUUUCGGAUCGUAAAACUCUGUUGUUAGAGAAGAACAAGGGUGAGAGUAACUGUUCACCCCUUGACGGUAUCUAACCAGAAAGCCACGGCUAACUACGUGCCAGCAGCCGCGGUAAUACGUAGGUGGCAAGCGUUGUCCGGAUUUAUUGGGCGUAAAGCGAGCGCAGGCGGUUUCUUAAGUCUGAUGUGAAAGCCCCCGGCUCAACCGGGGAGGGUCAUUGGAAACUGGGAGACUUGAGUGCAGAAGAGGAGAGUGGAAUUCCAUGUGUAGCGGUGAAAUGCGUAGAUAUAUGGAGGAACACCAGUGGCGAAGGCGGCUCUCUGGUCUGUAACUGACGCUGAGGCUCGAAAGCGUGGGGAGCAAACAGGAUUAGAUACCCUGGUAGUCCACGCCGUAAACGAUGAGUGCUAAGUGUUGGAGGGUUUCCGCCCUUCAGUGCUGCAGCUAACGCAUUAAGCACUCCGCCUGGGGAGUACGACCGCAAGGUUGAAACUCAAAGGAAUUGACGGGGGCCCGCACAAGCGGUGGAGCAUGUGGUUUAAUUCGAAGCAACGCGAAGAACCUUACCAGGUCUUGACAUCCUUUGACCACUCUAGAGAUAGAGCUUCCCCUUCGGGGGCAAAGUGACAGGUGGUGCAUGGUUGUCGUCAGCUCGUGUCGUGAGAUGUUGGGUUAAGUCCCGCAACGAGCGCAACCCUUAUUGUUAGUUGCCAUCAUUUAGUUGGGCACUCUAGCAAGACUGCCGGUGACAAACCGGAGGAAGGUGGGGAUGACGUCAAAUCAUCAUGCCCCUUAUGACCUGGGCUACACACGUGCUACAAUGGGAAGUACAACGAGUCGCGAAGUCGCGAGGCUAAGCUAAUCUCUUAAAGCUUCUCUCAGUUCGGAUUGUAGGCUGCAACUCGCCUACAUGAAGCCGGAAUCGCUAGUAAUCGCGGAUCAGCACGCCGCGGUGAAUACGUUCCCGGGCCUUGUACACACCGCCCGUCACACCACGAGAGUUUGUAACACCCGAAGUCGGUGAGGUAACCUUUUUGGAGCCAGCCGCCUAAGGUGGGAUAGAUGAUUGGGGUGAAGUCGUAACAAGGUAGCCGUAUCGGAAGGUGCGGCUGGAUCACCUCCUUUCUAAGGAA